rnacentral:rRNA from 1 species
UACACACCGCCCGUCACACCAUGGGAGCGGGUUCUGCCAGAAGUAGUUAGCCUAACCGCAAGGAGGGCGAUUACCACGGCAGGGCUCGUGACUGGGGUG